rnacentral:rRNA from 1 species
CUACGGGACGCUGCAGUGGGGAAUAUUGGACAAUGGGGGAAACCCUGAUCCAGCAAUGCCGCGUGUGUGAAGAAGGCCUGCGGGUUGUAAAGCACUUUCGGUUGGGAGGACUGCUUCUAGCACUAAUAUUGUUGGAAGUUGACGUUACCUUCAGAAGAAGCACCGGCUAACUCCGUGCCAGCAGCCGCGGUAAUACGGAGGGUGGCAGGCGUUAAUCGGAAUUACUGGGCGUAAAGCGCGCGUAGGCGGCUAGAUCAGUCGGGUGUGAAAGCCCCGGGCUUAACCUGGGAACUGCAUCCGAUACUGUCUAGCUUGAGUACAGGAGAGGAGAGUGGAAUUCCACAUGUAGCGGUGAAAUGCGUAGAUAUGUGGAGGAACACCAAUGGCGAAGGCAGCUCUCUGGCCUGAUACUGACGCUGAGGUGCGAAAGCGUGGGGAGCAAACAGGAUUAGAUACCCGAGUAGUC